rnacentral:misc_RNA from 1 species
UCACCGUUGGUGAACCAGCGGAGGGAUCAUUACCAAGUUUUUCUACUCCCAAACCCCUGUGAACUUAUACCUUUACUGUUGCUUCGGCGGGUUAACGCCCCGGAAGGCCCAAAAAGCCGCCGGAACCAGGCGCCCGCCGGGGGACCCAAACUCUUGUAUUUCUUACUUUGCAUGUCUGAGUGGAAUCAUAAACAAAUGAAUCAAAACUUUCAACAACGGAUCUCUUGGUUCUG